UACGAAGGGGGCUAGCGUUGCUCGGAAUCACUGGGCGUAAAGCGCACGUAGGCGGGUCUUUAAGUCAGGGGUGAAAUCCUGGAGCUCAACUCCAGAACUGCCUUUGAUACUGAGGAUCUCGAGUCCGGGAGAGGUGAGUGGAACUCCGAGUGUAGCGGUGAAAUGCGUAGAGAUCGGGAAGAACAUCGGUGGCGAAAGCGCUCUACUGGACGGUAUCUGACACUGAGGUGCGAAAGCGUGGGGAGCAAACAGG
rnacentral:rRNA from 1 species